rnacentral:rRNA from 1 species
UACGGGAGGAUCCAAGCGUUAUCCGGAUUAUUGGGUUUAAAGGGAGCGUAGAUGGAUUUUUAAGUCAGUUGUGAAAGUUCGGGGCUCAACCCCGUAAUUGCAGUUGAUACUGGAUAUCUUGAGUACAGUUGAGGUAGGCGGAAUUCGUGGUGUAGCGGUGAAAUGCUUAGAUAUCACGAAGAACUCCGAUUGCGAAGGCAGCUUACUAAGCUGUAACUGACAUUGAGGCUCGAAAGUGUGGGUAUC